UGGGGGAUAUUGCACAAUGGGCGAAAGCCUGAUGCAGCGACGCCGCGUGGGGGAUGAAGGCCUUCGGGUUGUAAACUUCUUUUGCUCUGAACAAGGCAUGCUAAUGGGUGUGUUGAGUGUAGGGGUUGAUUAGCGCCGGCUAACUACGUGCCAGCAGCCGCGGUAAUACGUAGGGCGCGAGCGUUGUCCGGAAUUAUUGGGCGUAAAGGGCUUGUAGGUGGCUGGUUGCGUCUGUCGUGAAAGCUCAUGGCUUAACUGUGGGUUUGCGGUGGGUACGGGCUGGCUUGAGUGCAGUAGGGGAGGAUGGAAUUCCUGGUGUAGCGGUGGAAUGCGUAGAUAUGAGGAGGAAUACCGGUGGCGAAGGCGAGUCUCUGGGCUGUUACUGACACUGAGGAGCGAAAGCAUGGGGAGCGAACAGG
rnacentral:rRNA from 1 species